rnacentral:lncRNA from 1 species
AGCAAGUCCAUGCUCUAAACCCUGAUUAGGAGAGAAAUAAGCCUAUAAGUGUCCUAACCACACAAUCACACAAUUAGCACAGAAGACUUACAUCGCCUCAGUUUCUUCCUGCACGUCAGCACAAUUCAUAUCACAUUGGAAUAUCUCAGCAACUCAUUUAAUCACAAGAGUCCCGAUUAUAAGGUCCAACCAUUAUGACACGACACAUACCAUGCCACACGGUUUUGUCUCAUAAUUAGGUGCAUCCAACUCAGACAAUCAUGCGUUUCAAUUGUUAAAUAAGCCACUCAAGGCGCUGCUGACUUCCAUGUUUGGCAGUCUACUAGCGUAGCCAGGCAUCGUCUCUUCCCCAUGGAGCAUGGCUACGUCACAUUGAUAGCUAUCUUGAAUGAGCUUAGGUCCAGAAUCUACUGCGACCCACUACCCUAAUGCAUGGGUAACCCGAAGGUGGGAUUUAGUAACGUUCGGCUUAAAUGCUAGGAUGGGUUCUCUUUAAUCAACACACAACAAUUCAAUCUCGGCCUAGGACACCGUGCAUUGCACUCAAAGGCCUCAGUUAAGAUAAUGGUCCUAACCUAUUUUAUUCGUAUUAAAAACAUCUUGAAAAUAGUCGUGUGUGGGUACACGGUCAAUUCGAACCAGAAAACCGAUACCUUUCUUUUUCAAACCCCACUAUUUGAUAUAGUACUUAAAAUCUAUUUUCGGUGUUAAAACCCGACGCUCGAGAUUUUCUGAAUAAAUAUCAAAAUUCACAAAUUUUGAAGUAAUUUACCAAAUUUCCAAUCAACACUCAAUUUGCACAAAUUUACACUCAAUUCCAGAAUUUAACCACACCAUUACAAUCGGCACGAAAUUCUGGUCACCGACUAUCCCAGCCUAAUUUCAAUAAUUAUUUAACUAUUAAAUAUUUUCCAGAAAUUAGGCUGGGAUAGUCGGUGACCAGAAUUUUGUGCCAAAUAAAUUAUUCUAACAUCCUAGCUAUAUAACAACACACUAACCUAAUUAACUUAUAAUUUCUAACCACCUAAUUAAAUAAUCUAACUAACCUAAUUUAACUAACUAAACUAAUAAUUAAACUAAUUGCACUUAAAUAAAUCUAAACACCCCUUAGAUGCAUUAGCCUAUUAAGAAGAGUUUAGUGCAUAAACUCACUGGUGUAUCAUGAAAACCAGUUCACCGCGACGACGGCGUGACGGCAGCCAAAACUUGAGUUUGUGAUGGUGUCGACAUAGCUUGGACCAGGCUUAAACUUGGCCCAACAAAUCUCAACCCAAAUCUGAGAUUUGCUUUUGAAUUGGGCUGGGCCCAAAGCGGGCUGACUUCACGGGCUUGGGCUGCUGAAUUGAGCUAGCCGUUGGGCCCAAAACUUGGCUAAGUUGGGCUAGACUGAACUGCUAAACAAGGGCCGAAGUUGCUGGACCUCAAAUGGCUGGGCUUGAAGAAAUCGCUGGCUUCAAUCGGUAGUAGGAAGCUGGGCUUCGCUGGUCUCGUGUUGAAGACGUUGGGCAAUGGGCCGUGAAGACACGCGAAGAUGGGAGCUGAGGGAGAUGGGCCUAAUGCUGGGCCGGUCGCUGAAGCUGAUUGUUGGCUGGACAAGCAGCCGGCGUGUGCUAGGGUCUUCAGGCUGGCAGACGAAGGAACAUACCGUGUACGUGCGGCAGCUGCUUCGGUGCUGGACAACGCACGAAGGAACGUAGAUGCUGGUGUCUUCGGUGGAUGCGUGGAUGAGGGGCGUCAACAAACCGUUACUAGUUGACUCACGGAUGCUGCUGUGGACGCGUGGAGUUGCUGCUCCGUGGAAUGUGGGCUGAGCAGAAAGAGAGCUUCGGUGGUGUUGCAGUUAAUGGGUGAGAGGAAGAUGCGAGGAAAUUUGGAGUGUUGCGGUCAACGAAAUAGAGAGAGAAAGUGGAGGAGAUCGUGGGGGUUGAUGGGCAGAUGGUGGAAUGGAGCGACUGAAGGUGUUGGAUGAUGCACGAAGAAAGGAGGAGGAAGGGUAGCUUCGAAGGAAAAAACAGAAAUGAAAGAAAGGCAAAAGUUGAGAGAGAGGUUCGGUUGCUUCGCAUGCGAGAAGGAGACCGAAGAAAAAGGGAAACCGG